ACUCAAAGGAAUUGACGGGAACCCGCACAAGCGGUGGAGCAUGUGGUUUAAUUCGACAAUAAGCGAGGAACCUUACCAGGGUUUGACAUGUCUGGAAUUCGCCUGAAAGGGUGAAGUGCCGCAAGGAGCCAGAACACAGGUGCUGCAUGGCUGUCGUCAGCUCGUGUCGUGAGACGUCGGGUUAAGUCCUUUAACGAGCGCAACCCUUAUCGUGUGUUAAAUGUUCACACGAGACUGCCUGGGUAACCAGGAGGAAGGUGGGGAUGACGUCAAGUCAGCAUGGCCCUUACGCCCUGGGCUACACACGUGCUACAAUGGAGCCGACAAAGGGACGCCAAGUCGCAAGACGGAGCAAAUCCCUUAAACGGCCCCUCAGUUCGGAUUGGAGUCUGCAACUCGACUCCAUGAAGCUGGAAUCGCUAGUAACCGUGAAUCAGCCUCGUCACGGUGAAUACGUUCUCGGGUUUUGUACACACCGCCCGU
rnacentral:rRNA from 1 species